rnacentral:misc_RNA from 1 species
GAAACGCGAUAGUUAAUGUGAAUUGCAGAAUUCAGUGAAUCAUCGAGUCUUUGAACGCACAUUGCGCCCAUAGGUAUUCCUUUGGGCAUGUCUGUUUGAGCGUCAUUACAACCCUCAGCUAACCGCUGGUUUUGAACCUGAACGGGUGACACCGCGCCGGUUUUAAAGUUGUAAGCUCUGCUGGCCGCUCUGCCCAACAAGAACAUAGUAAGCACUACUUGUCCGGGUGAAGCUGAACGGUACGGCCUGAACAAAACCUACCCACUCUCAAGGUUUGACCUCAGAUCAGACAAGGAUACCCGCUGAACUUAAGC